GAUGAACGCUGGCGGCGUGCCUAAUACAUGCAAGUCGAACGCUGGAAAUCUAGCUUGCUAGAUUGAAGGAGUGGCGAACGGGUGAGUAAUACAUAACCAACCUACCCACGAAGACUGGGAUAAUCUCUGGAAACGGGGACUAAUACCGGAUAGGUAAUCGGAAGGCAUCUUCUGAUUAUUAAAGGUUAAAAACACUGGUGGAUGGGCUUAUGGCGCAUUAGUUAGUUGGUGAGGUAACGGCCCACCAAGACGAUGAUGCGUAGCCGGCCUGAGAGGGUGAACGGCCACAUUGGGACUGAGACACGGCCCAGACUCCUACGGGAGGCAGCAGUAGGGAAUUUUCGGCAAUGGGGGAAACCCUGACCGAGCAACGCCGCGUGAGUGAUGACGGCCUUCGGGUUGUAAAGCUCUGUUGUAAGGGAAGAACGGUAGAUAGAGAAUAUCUAAAUGACGGUACCUUACCAGAAAGCCACGGCUAACUACGUG
rnacentral:rRNA from 1 species